CUGGGACUUGGAGCUCUGAGCAAUCAUUUGCAAAACACUGGGCUGUCAGUAUCUGAUGGACUUGCUCAUAUCUGAGAAUCUGUGAUUCGUGAUUAUGUGACUGUAGAUAAUGAAGGAAACGUCCCCAGGUUCCUGCCCUAUCCUCCACCUAACUUGGCAGCAUAGAGUAACAAAUAAGGAUGAGGAGAGACCUGACAGGUGUGCUGAAUUUAAAUGCACCCAGGGGUCAUCAGUGAAAUGUACACGCCCAAGCCCAACAUAAAUCAUUCAUUCCUUCAUUCCUCCAACAAAAAUUGACUGCUAGGCACAGCAGAUUGUAUGCAGGAAAGUAAUUCACAGCCUUUAUUCUUAAAGAGGUUUGGGUUUUAUGUAAGAAAAUCUGACAUCUAAAUACAAAAAAAAAAAAUUAUAAACACUUCCAAUAUAAUGUUUUUCAGAUUUUCAUGAUCAAGAGCCACCCUUUCCAGCAAGAAUCACCAUCAAUGGCUUCAUGGAAGAAGCAGCAUUUGAAGAAUAGUGUGAUUUUGAUAGGUGGAGCUGGGAGAGGAGAGCACUUCAGAAUGAGGAAGCAGCGUGUUCAAAGGCCCGGGGGCCGUGUGGUCAUACAGGCUGAACCGUAUUCACCUCUUGGAAGCACAUUCAGGCAACACGGGGCUCAAUGCGAGAGAAAGCUAAAAAUGCAACUUCCUUGUGGCAAACAUGGGCAACGAUUAGAAGAGCAAGGAAGGGGAAUUCCCCCCGGCCCCAUAUUUUCCAGCUGAGCUGUCCUCGUCAGGCUAAACAGCGACAAAAAUAAUCACAGUUGCUUGCCACUUGGAAUAUUAUUAUCUGAACAGUUGGUGGAUGUGAACUGUUUUUAAAACAGGCUAUCAAAACAAACCCAGGGAGAACAUCUGUGGGGCCACGGGCCUGCGAGUCAGCUGAGGAAGGAAGCCAUAACCCAGCAGCCUCUCCAUCAAGUGUCCUUGCAGGGUAGGCAAGGGGGCGUCCCAAAGAUCACCAGGGUGGGGUGGGAUGGCCCAGGGUGGGAGGAGGCAAAAACAGGAAAGCAAGGGUCCAGCAUGCAAACCAAUUCAGAGCAAUAUACAGAAAUGCAACUUCUAGAAACAAUGAGGCGUAGGUAACGUGGGACCUCGAGCAGCGAUGGGAGGAUGGGGUAGCUGCAGGCUCCACUGAAAUCGCUUUAGGGCCUGGGGACAUCUGCAGUGAAAACAUCGCAUGUUAUUUUUAGCCAUAAGUUGAAAUCCAUGUUAUUUAGUAUGAUGUUUAUAAAAAAUAAAUGGUAGGCAGCCUUUCCUUCCUUGCUUCUCCAGCCGUCGAAGAAACGUUUUUAGGUGCAUACUUCUCUGCUUUGUUUAGCUUAUUUUG
rnacentral:lncRNA from 1 species